ACUCUGCACCUUGGGGAGGCUGAAGUUCCUGGAUCCAAUGAUUCCAGGCAGGAAACAUGUGCAGGAGACCAGGAUUACAUACAGUACCUGACUGCUGCUCAUAGCCUUGGAAGGAGCAAGGCAGGCUGGCUCCAAAGGAUAGCAUGGGAGUAGAAGUAAAUUCAUGAAUCUUAGAGCACAGACUAAAUAUCUAAUGUACUUUCUGUUUUAGCAUAGAAUAAAACAUUCAGCUCUGUAUGUAUUCCUCUCUGAAGAGUGAAAAAAUAUCAGAAGAAUCCAUAGCUUGGAAAGGAUUUCUCCUAUGUCUGAACUCCAGUGAUGUAGAAAGAUCCUGGGUGCUAUUCAUAGUAUUCCAAGAUCUUAAAAUCCAUUACUCUGCACAAGGAAAACAAAGAAAUUAAGUGGGUUUGAUGACGAGCAAAGACGUCAAAUGCAGAAGCUCAGCAUACGUGGGAGUUUGGCAAGAAGGCAGAGCAGCAAAAAGAGCAAGGGAGCUGUGGUUCUUUCAGCGUGUCUGGUUUUAAGGAGCUACUGGUGCAGGAUGCACUUGAGAACUCGAGAGGCAACACUUGCAAUUAUUUGCACUCUUGCAAUUCAGCAGAACUGAGCCCAGUUUUUCACCUCAUGACUAUGGAGACUGAAUUUCUGACCCAGCUUGCUGCUACCACACUCUUGGGACAACCAGUGCUUCCAGAAAGUUGCUAUCUGUCUUCUGAGGUGGAUCCAGAGAGGUAGCAGCAGAUGGCUGCUGCCAGGGAAGGUGAUUUCUGCCAAGUACCACUAAACAAUCAGUUUUGGAAUCUAUUUGGAGUCUAUAAAUGAUCUCUUGGGUCUGCUGUUCGUCACUUCAGUGCAAGGGCUUAACUGGAGUUAAGCCUUCACUCAGCAAGUGUGGAAACACUUUUAAUCAGAAGCAGGAAUCGUUGGCCCAGCUUGCCAAAUCAGAUUAAGAGCAGUUUAUAUGACCAUUGUAAGUAUCAUAAAGUGCCUGGACAUGGGAAACAUCAAUAUAUAAACAAGAUACCCCCUGAUUUUUUUAUUAUUUUGGCCUGCAACAGUGAGAAGCAUUUGAAAGGCCAGAUCCUUUGUAGUGCUGAAUAUCCUCAACUCCAGCUGCACUCCUUGAAAGACCAUGUGCUCAGUGACUCCUCAGGAGGCCCAUCUGGUAACAGCCCCAUGCUGCUCUCCCUGCCAGGGAGCAGCCACUACCACCCCAAGAAUGGAAAUUAAAAAAGCAACCUGACUCCUUUGAGAACCGCAAGACAUUCCUUGUAUGAGAAAUUACUUCAUAUUCAAGAUUUCUGCAUAGCUGUGCUGCCACUUACAGAAACAUGUUUUCACAGUAUAAUACAUUCACCCCCACUGAACCUCAGAACUCCGUUUAGGAUUUGACAUGUCUUCAGGAGAUCUUCAGGACCCACACAGGGUCCUGAAUAUAUGUGAACUAAGUAGUGACAGGAAGAAAAAAAGCCACUCCUGGAAAUUAAAAAAUAACUGAAUUUAGAUCAAACACAUGGAAAGUCUGGCUUUUGCCCUAGAAGGUUAAUCACUACUUGGAAUUUUUUGCCGUGGGAGAUUCCUUGUGUAAUUGUUGAAAGGCGAGAUCAAAACCCAAUAUCAUCUUUUGAGUGCCAGUGUCACGCCUGGAUAAAAACAAGCUGUAUCAGCACUAAUUAUAUUUGCUCCCAGACAUGCUGCUGAAGCUCUGACUAUGUUUGGGAUAGGAAGGAAUUUCCUCAUGUGGUGAAUUGGUAAAGUUUGGGAUUUGUCUUGUUCUUGUGCAUUGCUUAAGGACCAUUUUUUGGAGUCUUGUUUCAAAUUCUUUGACUUUCUGCAGCCUUGUGAUCAGAGCUAAAUAUUCAGCUUUUCCCACUACUGGGCCCUGCUUUGGUUCUAAAGGUUUUUUCUGCUUUACCAAAUAUGUAUGGAGGAUCUCAUUUUGCUGCAUUUUAAAGAUACUCUAGCAAUGGCAAAAAUAAUCUACAUUAUUACUUAUCUAAAAAUAAUAUACAGGGAAAGAAAAAGGGCAAAGGGAAUAAUGAACUGUACAGUCAGUUGCAACCUUCAACUUCAUUCUCUGGAAAACAAAUGAAUUGUAGGAUGCUCUAGUGUACAGAGAGGUGCUUCCGUGAUGAAAGAAAGUAGGACCUGGGAAAAGGCAGGCGUGAUGCUUCAGAGGAUCAUCUUGGGAGAUGAUAACUCAUUUCCUACCAUCAGUCAAUGUCUAUAACCACCUGCUUUUGGAGGAGAAUGCCAGGAUGAUGUCACCCAAAGGCUGCAGGUAAAUGCUGCAUCAAGUGGGAACCAGCAUUUUCCCUGUUUGAGUGCCUCUACUAUUCAGUGGAAUGGUUUUGCAAUGGGAAUUUGUGGCUUUUCCAGCAGUGCUGCUGCAGCCAGAGAAUAUGCAAGGUGAAAAGCACAACAAGUCUUGAGUUGCUCCUAGGCUGUUUGCAGCCCUGAGUUGUUCACUAAGACCUCAGCUUAGUAAAUGACAUUAGGAUCUCCCUUCUUCCCUCUCAGGGCUGCACAUGUGUCCAUCCUAGUGAGUGGCCCUUGUUGGGUAGCAGGCAGACUGUCCUCCCCCCGUCCUUUCAGGCUCUAGGUGUUCCUGCUGCUGUUGCAGGUGCCAGCACACCCUGU